GUGGGGAAUAUUGGACAAUGGGCGCAAGCCUGAUCCAGCAAUGCCGCGUGGGUGAAGAAGGUCUUCGGAUUGUAAAGCCCUUUCGACAGGGACGAUGAUGACGGUACCUGUAGAAGAAGCCCCGGCUAACUUCGUGCCAGCAGCCGCGGUAAUACGAAGGGGGCUAGCGUUGCUCGGAAUUACUGGGCGUAAAGGGCGCGUAGGCGGCUUCAUUAGUCAGGCGUGAAAAUCCUGGGCUUAACCUGGGGACUGCGCUUGAUACGGUGAGGCUUGAGGAUGGAAGAGGCUCGUGGAAUUCCCAGUGUAGAGGUGAAAUUCGUAGAUAUUGGGAAGAACACCGGUGGCGAAGGCGGCGAGCUGGUCCAUUACUGACGCUGAGGCGCGACAGCGUGGGGAGCAAACAGGAUUAGAAACCCCAGUAGUCC
rnacentral:rRNA from 1 species